AGUGAACGCUGGCGGUAGGCCUAACACAUGCAAGUCGAACGGCAGCACAGGAGAGCUUGCUCUCUGGGUGGCGAGUGGCGGACGGGUGAGGAAUACAUCGGAAUCUACUCUGUCGUGGGGGAUAACGUAGGGAAACUUACGCUAAUACCGCAUACGACCUACGGGUGAAAGCAGGGGACCUUCGGGCCUUGCGCGAUUGAAUGAGCCGAUGUCGGAUUAGCUAGUUGGCGGGGUAAAGGCCCACCAAGGCGACGAUCCGUAGCUGGUCUGAGAGGAUGUUCAGCCACACUGGAACUGAGACACGGUCCAGACUCCUACGGGAGGCAGCAGUGGGGAAUAUUGGACAAUGGGGGCAAGCCUGAUCCAGCCAUACCGCGUGGGUGAAGAAGGCCUUCGGGUUGUAAAGCCCUUUUGUUGGGAAAGAAAUCCAGCUGGCUAAUACCCGGUUGGGAUGACGGUACCCAAAGAAUAAGCACCGGCUAACUUCGUGCCAGCAGCCGCAGUAA
rnacentral:rRNA from 1 species